AGAGAGGAGACUGGGCCUGUCAAGGGUUUUUGAACCCCGCCCUCAUUGACACACCUUCUCCAACAAGGCCACAUCUCCUAGUUCUUCCAAACAGUUCAUGAACAGGGACUAAGCAUGCAAAUAUAUUAGCCUGUGGGGGCUGUUCUCAUUCAAACCACCAUCUAUUGUAAAGCUACCCUUCUUGGAAUCCAGUUUCAGAAAACAGAAGCUGGUGAGAUGUCUGGGGCUGGAGAGAUGGCUGAGCCAAUAAAAGCACCUGGUAGUCUCCCAGGGGACCUAGGAUUCAGUUUUCAGCCCCCACACAGUGUCUCAAUCUCCUGUAACUCCAUCCCCCAAGGAUCUUAUGCCCUGUCCUGGCCUCUGCAGGCACCGGACAUGCACUGUGGUGUACAGACAGCCAUACAAGCUACAGUGGUUUGAAUGAGCGGCCCAUACAGGCUCAUAUAUUUGAGUACUUGGUCCAAAGUAGGUGGAAAUAUUCGGUAAGGACUAGGAGGUGUGCUCUUGUUGGAGGAGCAGUGUCUCCAAGGACAGGGAUCGAAGAUCCAAAGGCCCAUGCCCUGUUCCAUUUAGCUCUCCCUGCUUACAUCGCAAGGUGUAAGCUCUCAGCUGUAAGUACCUGCAUGCUGCCCUGCUCCCUGUCGUGGUAGUCACAAACACUAACUGUCUGCAACCAUGAGCCCCAAAUUAAAGGUUUUCUUUUAUAAGUUGCCUUGGUCAUGGUGUUUCAUUACUGCAUUGGAACAGUCACCGAGACACAGGCAAAACACCUCCAUACAUAGAAUAAAAAUAAAAUCUUAAGAAAGAAAAUAACGUGAGGAGAGAUCGGAAAGACGUCCAUCACUGACAUCUGCCACGCACACACAUUUUGGGAAGCAUUCCUGUCACAUAUCCUGUCACCAGGACGCAUUAGCUUGAUGGGAGCCCUUUUUGUUUGUAAUUUACAUACAUGUAGAGGGUUCUGCUGUAUUUAAAGUUAUGAAUAUUUAAUUUUCAAAUACAAGAACUGAUUUUUCAGGCUGAUACUCUAAAUUUAGAACUCUUGCUAGACUUUUUAUAAAGCGGAGAGAAUGGAGGGACUAAGAGCCUUCGCUCUCGUGGUCUGUAAGACGUGUUAAGUAAGCCCAUCUGGACAGACUAAGUUCCCUUGAAUACUGACCCCACUCACAAAUUUAAUUAAAGUCCCUUAAACAUUUUCAACUUCAUUUAUGCAUAAAAUAUGCUUAAUUUUCUUAAGUGCUUCUAGUGCUUGGCAAUCAACUUUAUGACCUUUCUGAAUAUUCGGACAGUGCUUGUAUACCAGCCAAGUUUCUAAACGCAGCUUCCUUGGUGUUCUCUCAAAUAUUUUAGCAGUGGUUAAAUGUUUGUUCAGUGUCUCUUAUGCUUUAUAAUUUAAAAAAUCGCAGGGGGUCAGGUGGCAAUGGCACCUUUCAAACUGAAGUGACAAAUUUAAUCUACCUGAUUUUCUAAACUGCCAUCUUCUCUACACUGUGCCUGUUGAAUGCAUAGCCAGUCCUGGUGAGAACAGAGCCCGUUCCUGAAAUGGAUGGGAAGCCCGUAGCUCUUGGUCUUGCUUCGCUUCUUCGUCUCUAUUCACUUUACAUCUCUCAGACUUGGAGAAGCUUAUCCAUCACAGGGAGCCAUCCCAUCAUGCCUUGCGGGCCCACAGGGCAGGGAUCUCAUAUGAGCCAUCGGUGUAUCGAACUUGGCGCCCCUUUCAUUUUUUGGUGAGACCCUCUCAAGAUGCGUUAACAAGUCACUAACACAGGGUCUCAUGGAAUCCAGACUGCCCUCUAACUCCCUCUAUGGCCAUAGAUGACCUCGGCCUCGCCCCUCUCCCGAUGCCCAGGACUGAGGAUUGGACCUAGGACUUGGAAGCACCACAGAGCUUUCUUGUCUGCAUCUGCUGACUGGCCACAGGGAAACUGACCUUAUUCUGGGAACGAAGGUGGAAGGCUUCCUUGGGGAGAUGCUAUGUGAAGGUCAGUAGGAAGAGGCGAUGUCUUCAAGCAAUGAAGGAGAAGGUGGACUCUGGGUCCAGGAAGGCUGCAGAACUGUAGACAAAGGCUCAGAAGCUCAAGCAGACAUGUGACAUGAGAACUCAGGUCACUGUGGAUCUAUGCACAGAAUGAGAUGCCUAAGAUGCAAAGAUACAGAAGACACCACCAUCCGGCUCUCUCUUCCUUUGACAGAAUCUCUCUGUGUAGCCCAGGCUAGCAUGAAGCUCCCGAUCCACUGCUUCAGCCUCCUAACUACUUUGUCUACUUUGACAAUGUUCCACUCCACAAGAGAAAACAAAUUCAGAACAAAGGAGCAAAGCAGACUGGGCUUGUAGCAGAAGGCAGAAUAGCUUGGCAGCUAUGUGACAGACAUGAUGCUGAGCUUGGCUACGUCACUGACACCGUGACUUCAGGUUUCCAGCCCUGUGACAGACAUCUAAAAUAAACAGCAUGCAUAGAGGAAAGGUGCUGCGGGAGCCACAGGUUACUGUGCAGAUGUGGCUAAGUCCAAGAACCACACGAUACACAACCAGUCCAGCAAAUGGCACAGAAAUGGCAUCAAGAAACCCAGGUCACAAAGAUAUAAAUAUCUUAAGGGGGCUGACCCCAAGUUCCUGAGGAACAUGCGCCUUGCCAAGAAGCACAACAAGAAAGGCCUGAAGAAGAUGCAGGGCAACAAUGCAAAGGCAGUGAGUGCGCACGCAGAGGUCAUCAAGGCCCUGGUGAAGCCUCAGGCCAUCGAGCCCAAGAUGCCAAAGGGCCCAGCCACAGACUCAGCGGGCUGGCUUUCAUCACUCACCCCAAGCUUGGGAAGCAGAUUUGAAGCUACAUGGCCAAGGGUGUAGGCUCUGCCAACUAAAGCCCAAGGCAGAGGCCACAGCUCCAGCUAAGGGCCAGGCUUUAGCUCCAGCCCAGGCUCGCAAAGGUGCGCAGGCCCCUGUGAAGGUCCCAUGGAAAAGGCUCCUGCCAGUGUGAAGACAGAUGGACUGCUGUGACACACCUACCUAUACACUGUUUGCAGAUGACCAGUGACCUAUGCUGUUUUUACAAAUAAACUUGAGGCAAGAUCUAACACACACACACACAUACACACACACACACACACACACACACACACACACACACGCACACACGCACGCACGCACACAUGCACACACGCACACACACAUUUAUUUUGGAGAAAAGGUCUCACCAUGCAACCCAGGAAAGUCUGGAACUCACUAUGUACUCCAGACUGGCUGUGAGCUUAUGAAACUCCUGCCUCAGCACCUUGAACACUGUGACUAAAGAUGUGCACUAUGAAGUUUUAAUUCUCUCAGCUGGUUUUCAGCAAGCGUUCACAAUGAGUUUCACUGUGGGUGUGGACUGCAUACACAACACUGUUUUCUGUAAAAUCUUGAUGAUUAAAAAUAAAAGCAUAUAACUCCUCACUAGAAAGAUUUCAGGCCAGCACUGGAAAUGUUUUGUUUGUUCCUUCGCUGGCUUUUGUUUUUACUUAGAUCUAUGAUUAAAAGGAAGUGAAUGUUGAUGAAAAACCUGACUCAGGGCUUCACUGAGCAGCUACAGUGAAUUCAUAGAAUAGUCAUUGUCUGCGUGCUGGCCGCGUUUGUGCAGUCACUGUAGAAUGACGACGGUACACCCCUAACAAUGUUCACAAGAGAAACAGUUCUGAGGGGUUUCUUUCGUAGUUCCUGAAUCAGACAGCCAUGUCCCAAUAGCAGUACUUUAACUCCUGUGCCUUGGUGCUGGGGGCAAAGAGAGUGGCCCUCUCGGAACACCAGCUCGUGGACUGCAUCACACCUGGUCUGAAGAUGAACUUGGAAGGCGCUGCAUUUGACGUCACGUGGAGCCAAGCGUCUACCACUGCCUCUCUCAACUGUGGCUGGCUGUUCAAAAUCUUUACUUCUGACUUAGCGGCUCCAGUUCUCAUGGUUCUAAGUCGUGGGAUCUCCAUUGUGCGAGAGAUCAGGUAUCCCCUGAAAGGGACUUGACAAUAAAUGUGGUAUUCACUGUUAAUGUUCUUUUCGCUGGAUCUCCUCCAACUUGGUGCCAAAGAAUAUUUGAGAGUUGUUGGGCUGUGUAUCUAAAGGUUUCUGUUGGGCCUGCGAUUUGUAUCAGAAAUAAUUUAUAUUGAAGAUGGAGAAACACAGACACUAAAGACACUUUUGAGACUGAUUCAAGAGAAAGGCAUUUUGAAAUGCCCCAUGUCCUGAAUCUUCACUUAGUGCACAUGUGCUGUGUGCAUGCCUCAUGCAGCCAUGCGCUAGGGAGCUCUCUGGGUACCUAGCACCCGGCACCCGGCAUCCAUCAUCCAUCAUCCAUCAUCCAACGAGGCCAGCAUCACGGUGUGCCCUUGAUGUGCCUUCAAACCAUGCAAAGGACUCAGAUUCACCUACAGCCUCUGGCUCCCCCUCUGAAAGGGCACAAAGAAUUCUUCCUAGAGCAAAGUCACUCCUCUCCUGCUCUGCCUUGGAGAGAGGUCAGAGGUCACGAUGGUCAGAGGCUCUUCUUUCCUUCAGUCUGUUCAGGUGUCAGUGUUCUGGCUGAAGCACCCCACCCCCCCUGUUCUCGCUUUUGUCACAUAUCUCUCUAGGAUAUUUGCCUUUAAAAUCUUGACCACUUCUUA